rnacentral:lncRNA from 1 species
CUUAUGUUAUGAUUGUGUUGGAUAUGUUAAAAUUUAAAAUUUCAAUGUUUUUCAUUUUUUGAAAAAAAAAAAAAACCGAAACAGAACCGGAAAAAACCGAACCGAAAAAAAACCGAACCGAAAAAAACUGAAAUUUCGGUUUGGUUUCAGUUUUGGCAAAAAACCGAACCGAUUUAAACCGAACCCACCCUUAAUUACAAGUAAACUCACAUUGUACAAGUGUUAAGCUUCAGCAGUUCGGCAUCCUUUGUAACGAAUACCAUUUGGCAUGAAUUCAAUAAAGAGGUGAUUUAGACAACUCAGUCCUGAUCCUCUUACAUUCCUAGCAAUGAAACACUUGGGUUCAAAGCUUUAACAUGAAUGCUUCCAACAUGAAACAAAGUCUAAGUAUAUGUCAACAAGACUAUACAAAUAAACAAACAGCUUCACAGUAUAUUCGUUCAAUCAUACAUUCCAACACAUUCAUAUAUAAGCUAACUGUGCUUCGAAAGGGUUCAACAUACUUUGUAUUAUUCGACACUUGCUACAAUGUGCCUCAGCACCUUGCCUUUAUUCUCACCAACUAGGUGAUGAAGGAACUUACCUUCGUGUCACCAACCAGGUGAUGAAAUGUACAACCCGUACUCUAAUAUUAUUUGGCAACUUGCCACUCUUAUCACCAACCAGGUGAAGAAGGAACUCACUUUGAUGCCACCAACUAGGUGAUGAAAUGUACAACCCAUACUCUAAUAUUAUUUGGUAACUUCCUAUUCUUAUCACCAACUAGGUGAAGAAGGAAUUGAUCUUCGUGCCACCAACCAGGUGAUGAAAUGUGAUGAAGGAACUCACCUUCGUACCACCAACCAGAUUAUGAAAGCAACUCACCAUUCAUUCCACCAAUUAGAAGACGAGUGGUACAACUUGUACAUGUGAACUCCUAGCAUUCACAAAUAAUAAAAAACCCUCAAGCUUUACAACUCAACUAGGGGAGCACUUAUGCCCAACAAUAGUUAUAGUCACCAACAAGAGCUUCAUCAAAGGAGUUCAACAACAAUUCUCAAAAGCUUCAUACACUCUUGAUCAAGACAGUGUGAAGCAAAACCAAUUUAUGGUGCCAACAAAAGCUUCAUCAAUGGAUGGCAACUACAAUUCUCAAAAGCCUCACACACUCUUGAUCAAGACAGUGUGAAGCAAAACCAAUUUAUGGUGCCAACAAAAGUUUAAUCAAAGGAGUUCAACCACAAUUCUCAAAAACUUCACACGUUCUUGAUCAAGACAGUGUGAAGCAAAACCAAUUUAUGAUGUCAACAAAAGCUUCAUUAAUAGCGGGCAAUUACAAUUCUCAAAAGCUUCACACACUCUUGAUCAAGACAAUGUGAAGCAAAACCAAUUUAUGGUGCCACCAAAAGCUUCAACUCCAAAGCUUCACCUAUAAAAACUUCAACUCCAAAGCUUCACUUACAAAGCUUUAACACAAAAGCUUCACCUACAAAGCUUCAAUUCCAAAGCUUCACCUACAAAGCUUCAACUCCAAAGCUUCACCUAUAAAAACUUCAACUCCAAAGCUUCACUUACAAAGCUUUAACACAAAAGCUUCACCUACAAAGCUUCAAUUCCAAAGCUUCACCUACAAAGCUUAAACUCCAAAGCUUCAACACAAAAGCUUCACCUACAAAGCUUCAACUCCAAAGCUUCACCUACAAAGCUUCAACACAAAAGCUUCACCUACAAAGCUUCAACUCCAAAGCUUCAUCUACAAAAACUUCAACUCCAAAGCUUCACCUACAAAAGCUUCAACUCCAAAGCUUCACCUACAAAGCUUCAACACAAAAGCUUCACCUACAAAGCUUCUACUCCAAAGCUUCAACUCCAAAGCUUCACCUACAAAAGCUUCACCUACAAAAGCUUCACCUACAAAGCUUCAACAUAAAAGCUUCACCUACAAAGCUUCAACUCCAAAGCUUCACCUACAAAAGCUUCAACUCCAAAGCUUCACCUACAAAGCUUCAACACAAAGGCUUCACCUACAAAAGCUUCAACACAAAAGCUUCACCUACAAAGCUUCAACACAAAGGCUUCACCUACAAAAGCUUCAACACAAAAGCUUCACCUACAAAAGCUUCCACUCCAAAGCUUCACCUACAAAGCUUCAACACAAAAGCUUCACCUACAAAGCUUCAACUCUAAAGCUUAACCUACAAAAGCUUCAACUCCAAAGCUUCAACACAAAAGCUUCACCUACAAAGCUUCAACACAAAAGCUUCACCUACAAAGCUUCAACUACAAAUGCCA